UACGUAGGGUGCGAGCGUUGUCCGGAAUUACUGGGCGUAAAGAGCUCGUAGGUGGUUUGUCGCGUUGUCCGUGAAAACUCACAACUCAAUUGUGGGCGUGCGGGCGAUACGGGCAGACUGGAGUACUGCAGGGGAGACUGGAAUUCCUGGUGUAGCGGUGGAAUGCGCAGAUAUCAGGAGGAACACCGGUGGCGAAGGCGGGUCUCUGGGGUCGAAGCUGAACUCUGAGGACGAAAGCUGGGGAGCAAACAGG
rnacentral:rRNA from 1 species